UAUUAUUAUAAAUGUAAAAUUUUUYUAAAGUAGUAUUAGUUAUGAUCUUGAAAUUUAAAAAUUUUGGCGGUAUUUUAGUCUAUUCAGAGGAACCUGUUCUAUAAUUGAUAAUCCACGAAUAAUUAUACUUUUUUUAUUAAUUUAUAUAUCGUCGUUAUUAAAUAUUUUAUUAGAAUUAUAAUAUUUAAUAUUUUUUAUUAAAAAGUAUAUCAGAUCAAGGUGUAGUUUAUAAAAAAGAAGAAAUGGGUUACAAUAAAUUUAUUUUUGGAUUUAUAUAUAAAAAUAUAUAAUGAAAUUGGAUUUGGAAGUAAUAAGUUAAAAAUUUAAUUUAUGAUUUUAGCUCUAAAAUGUGU
rnacentral:rRNA from 1 species